ACUCCUACGGGAGGCAGCAGUAGGGAAUCUUCCGCAAUGGACGAAAGUCUGACGGAGCAACGCCGCGUGAGUGAUGAAGGCUUUCGGGUCGUAAAACUCUGUUGUUAGGGAAGAACAAGUGCUAGUUGAAUAAGCUGGCACCUUGACGGUACCUAACCAGAAAGCCACGGCUAACUACGUGCCAGCAGCCGCGGUAAUACGUAGGUGGCAAGCGUUAUCCGGAAUUAUUGGGCGUAAAGCGCGCGCAGGUGGUUUCUUAAGUCUGAUGUGAAAGCCCACGGCUCAACCGUGGAGGGUCAUUGGAAACUGGGAGACUUGAGUGCAGAAGAGGAAAGUGGAAUUCCAUGUGUAGCGGUGAAAUGCGUAGAGAUAUGGAGGAACACCAGUGGCGAAGGCGACUUUCUGGUCUGUAACUGACACUGAGGCGCGAAAGCGUGGGGAGCAAACAGGAUUAGAUACCCUGGUAGUCCACGCCGUAAACGAUGAGUGCUAAGUGUUAGAGGGUUUCCGCCCUUUAGUGCUGAAGUUAACGCAUUAAGCACUCCGCCUGGGGAGUACGGCCGCAAGGCUGAAACUCAAAGGAAAUGACGGGGGCCCCCACAAGCGGUGGAGCAUGUGG
rnacentral:rRNA from 1 species